GGAGUUAGCCGGUGCUUCUUCUGUGAGUGAUGUCCUUCCUGCCGGUUAUUGACCCGCAGGCCUUCUUCCUCACUGAAAGUGCUUUACAACCCGAAGGCCUUCUUCACACACGCGGCAUGGAUGGAUCAGGGUUGCCCCCAUUGUCCAAUAUUCCCCACUGCUGCCUCCCGUAGGAGUCUGGGCCGUGUCUCAGUCCCAGUGUGGCUGAUCAUCCUCUCAGACCAGCUACGGAUCGUCGCCUUGGUGAGCCGUUACCUCACCAACCAGCUAAUCCGACAUAGGCUCAUCCGAUAGCGCGAGGCCCGAAGGUCCCCCGCUUUCCCCCGUAGGGCGUAUGCGGUAUUAGCCUGGGUUUCCCCAGGUUAUCCCCCACUACCGGGCAGAUUCCUAUGCAUUACUCACCCGUCCGCCGCUCGCCACCAGGGAGCAAGCUCCCCGUGCUGCCGCUCGACUUGCAUGUGUUAGGCCUGCCGCCAGCGUUCAAUCUGAGCCAGGAUCAAACUCUGA
rnacentral:rRNA from 1 species